rnacentral:rRNA from 1 species
GAUGAACGCUGGCGGCGUGCCUAAUACAUGCAAGUCGAGCGAACAGACGAGGAGCUUGCUCCUUCGACGUUAGCGGCGGACGGGUGAGUAACACGUAGGUAACCUACCUAUAAGACUGGGAUAACUUCGGGAAACCGGAGCUAAUACCGGAUAAUAUUUCGAACCGCAUGGUUCGAUAGUGAAAGAUGGCUUUGCUAUCACUUAUAGAUGGACCUGCGCCGUAUUAGCUAGUUGGUAAGGUAACGGCUUACCAAGGCAACGAUACGUAGCCGACCUGAGAGGGUGAUCGGCCACACUGGAACUGAGACACGGUCCAGACUCCUACGGGAGGCAGCAGUAGGGAAUCUUCCGCAAUGGGCGAAGGCCCGACGGAGCAACGCCGCGUGAGUGAUGAAGGUCUUCGGAUCGUAAAACUCUGUUAUUAGGGAAGAACAAACGUGUAAGUAACUGUGCACGUCUUGACGGUACCUAAUCAGAAAGCCACGGCUAACUACGUG